UAUUUUCACGUCUAGGUUCUCAUCUGACUACAAAGUUACUUGUCUCGUUAUCAGCUUUCAGACUACACUUUGGUCCACGCGCGCAUAAUGGAGAUAAGAGAGGCCGAGCGAGACAUGAGGCGAGAGAGGGCGCUCGCUGUCUGUACGUUCGGGGGAGAUGUUAGUUUUUACGCGAAGACGAGUAACAACAAGCAGGCAUAGGCCAUACAGUCGGGAGCUGAGGGCGCCACCCUGCACAAAAGGCCGCCCAUCCACGUUUUCUGCAGUCAGGUUACGUCAGUUUGCCACCAACGUGUUUCCAUCAUGGACACUUUAUAGUCAGAAAAAAUAGAAAUGAAAGUUGGUAUAAAAGGUAAUUUACUUACAUUAACAUGUUCAUUAUAUAUCACCUACAUUACAGUGUAAUUAUUGUUAGCAAUGUAUCAUGACGGUGGUGCUGCAUUUUUAUUUUUUUGUAUUUGUGUGUGUGUGUAAAACUAAUUCUAAAUCAAAAAGUGAAAUGAUCUAGUCGUAUUUUUUUCGACAGUUGAAAAUAUUGUAUUUUCUUAAAUCCACAAAGUAUCGACCAUGAAAUGUUACUUGUAUUUUUUGUUUUUACUAAUAUAUCAUGGUUAAAUCUAAGGAGAAUGUGUAUCAACAGUAUAGAUGCAUAUCAUAUACCUACAGAAUAUAUUAUAUUUGAUCAUUAUUUAUUGUAUACGUUUAUGUAUAAAUGUGUGUGUAAAUUGGCUCGGUGUUCUCAAUAGAAGAGAUGCAUUCUCAAAAUUAUGACUCAUGAUAGCCAAUGAUAUUAUUAAUUAUUGUUUUUGUUAUGAUUUUGUUAUGAGAGAGAGAGAGAGAUAGAUAGAUAGAUAGAUAUAUAUAUAUAUAUAUAUAUAUAUAUAUAGAGAGAGAGAGAGAGAGAGAGAGAGAGAGAGAGAGAGAGCAAUUGUAACUUGAUUUUCAACACAGAAGGAAGAUUUUCAUUAUUUUUAUUAUGCCAUAUAAUCAAAGCAUGAUCUUCAAGUGUCGCCUCAGAGUGACCGUUUCAAGUGUGACAUAUUGAUCUCUUCAUACUGAUCUCAGUUCUAAUAUGUGACCGUUUCCAAGUAUGAACUGAGCAUCCAAAACUAAAUCAGUGCUCCUUCAAAACGAUAGGCAGUGAAUGUUAUUUCAAGGCUGACCUUCACCGUCAAGAAUGAAGUAUGAUCGAGUGCUCCUCCAAGACGCAAAAUAACCAAUGCCUUCAAGUGUUAGUCCAGAGUGGAAAGCCCUCAAGUGUGACCUUCAUCUCAAAGUGUGAAGUUCUCGCCCAGGAGUGACUAAUGCUUGUCCAAAGCGCCGAACGACCAGCACCUUCAAGUGUUUGUUCAGAGUGUGGCCAUCUCAAGUGUGACCUACAAUACCGAGGAUGAGAAGAGACAUCAAGUAUUAUGAAUUGACCCCGGGACGUCACACUUGAGCACUGAAUGACCCACGCGGCCAUGGAGCGCAGGCUUUGAAACGCCACAGGACGCCAUGAAGGAAACUUUAAAACUUAGCUUGAAGCUCUGAGUUUGAUCUUGUUAUUAUAUAUUAUAAAUAUUACUGUUAUUGUCUUUAUUAUUGUAAUCAUUAUUGUUGUCUUUAUUGUUAUUAUUAUCAUUUUUUUUAGUUUCUUGUUUGGUGUUCACACUUCGGUCUAUGUCAUUGUGAAGACAGCCAUGUUAUAUGUACAUUGAUAUCUUGGAUCAAAAGCUAGUAUGAAAAGGUCAGUUACACACUUGAAACGUCAUGAACAGGCGUCACACUUUUAGGUCAUACUUUGAUAUUACUCUGCAAAUGUUAUAUUUAUUUUUAGUUUUAUUUGAAACGCCGAGCUUUUUUUAUUGAAGACUUGGUUGAUUUCCUAUGAAUAAUAUCUGUGUGCUCCAAUAUCUAUCUUUAUUUUAUCUUUCUUUUUUUGAGUUAUUAUACUUUCUUUGUAAUAAUCAAAACAAUUAUUUCAUAUUCCUUUCGGUUUUAGAUUAUAUAACUAUUUCGGUUUUUGGUCAUCUAAUGUUACAUGUACAAUAUUUGAAAAUAAAAGAUGUUAAUUUGGUAA